rnacentral:lncRNA from 1 species
AUUGCAUCAAUGCUAUCAAAAAACUUCAUCGAUUCGUAUUGGGAGCUUUGAAUGCCCUAUUCCUUGUGUCAAGAUGAAGUAUGAUUUUCUUGUUGGGGAGAUACACAUCCCCAUGGAGGUGACCUAGUGACUAUUCAAAAAUUCUCCGUUCUCUUUUGCGAUUCGAAAAGGUUUGUCGUGGAGACUUGAUCAACCUCACUCACGGAUUUCUUUAGAUGACCAUGAGAUGGAUCAAUCGACGAGUCACAAACCUCUAUUCCAAGCUUUCACCUUCGGUUGCUUAGAAGAAAAAUGAUAGAUUUAGUUU